UGCUUAAUUAAGUCCAAAUGUCACCGAGGGUUUUGUUGGUGCCUCUGGAAAAUCAAACAGGAGGCUCCCGAAGCUCUGAGAUCCCCUGGGCUGCCGGGACGGUGAGGGUGUUUGGAGGCUUUCACUCCUUUCCUGGUGCUUUGGGGUUAUUCUGGUUGAUUUUUGGAAACUGUAAUGCCACCCUGGACUAUGCUGUAUUAAAAGGAGCAAAGUUUGUCACUCAGCUCCGUUUCCAGGGUUCUCUGCAGGUCCCCAGCACUGCCCGUGCCCUGUAAGCUCCCCCCUUGACACGUGCAGGUGAGCGACGAACCAAAGCCCCUGCAUGUGCUCAGGGAUGUGCAGGGGAGCCAAACCCCGCUCCCGAGGGAUCUGGGACCUUCCCUUUUCUUCUCUGAUUUUUCCAGAUGAACAAAAUCCAGCAGCUGGGGAGCUGCGGGGGCUCCCAACGGGAUCGAGGAAGGCAAAAGGCACGAAGAUGAGGCCUCUCCUGGAGAGCAGGUGGAGGUAAUCAUGCGUCUCUUGCUCUCAGCAGCCUUGGGGUGACACCCCCAAUGCCAGCCCAAGCCAUGAAGGUGAUGCUCCUGCUGCUGCUUGCUCUCCUUGUGGCGUCCCAGGCUACCACAGUGCCAGACACUGUCAUGUGUCGGAAGAUCAAGGGCGAGUGCUCCUUCUUGCUGUGCUCCUUGUUCAAGAGAUCCAUCGGUACCUGCUACAAUGGCCUGGCGAAGUGCUGCAUACCCUUGUGAUGACCAUCCGUGGUCCAUGUCGGGUUUGGUGGCUUUGGUGGGGUCAGCAGCAGUGACACCCGCAGUUGUCCGGCUUUACUUGGCUGCUCUUUGUGGUGCUCUCUACACCUGGAGCUGGUGGAAGUCACUUUUGCCACCUGGGUGUCCUGAAGAGGACCCCACAAGGUGGAGUUCCCACCUCUAAGAGGUUUGUUUGGGAACGGGGUCCCUGUUAUGGCCACCUCGGAGGUGGAGGGUGUGAGGUGCAGAGGGCUUGUGCCAGUCAAGCCUCAGAGGUGACAGUGAAACCCCGGGGGAACCUUUUCCAGCUCUUGGACUUCCACAUUGCCCUUUCUGCCAACCAAAACGUCGAAGGGCUUCAGCAUGGGGAUGCCUUUGGAGUCUCACUGCUCUCCUCCCACCUUGCCUCCACCUGAAAUUUGUCUCUCCACCUUCAUCCAGCUGGCUCCUGCAUGGUGAGGUCUGAUUCAGCCCCAGCUCCUCCUCUCCGGGUCUGGCCAACUCUAAUUUGGUCUCUGCUGUGAUGCAGCAAGGCCUGGACACUGAAAUCUUCUGCUCUCCUCCAGACUCUGACAAAUAUCUCAGCCUUACAGCAUGGGAGUGAUUUGUGCUCCUUUUCUCUCCUCUAACAUGUAUUCACCAUGUCCAAAGAGUCCGGUCUGCAAAUUAUCUGAGUUGUGUAAAUAUCUAAUAAAGGAUGUGUA